rnacentral:lncRNA from 1 species
UGAAUUGUAAAUGCUUUAUCCCUGUUCGGGGAUUAUUGAAAGUUUUGUCUUGCCUUUUCUUAUCCUCCAUUGUAGUUUUUCUUUAACUGUCAGUGAAGAUAUCCGUACUUAAAGCCAGCUUAAUCCUCGAACAAGUUGGUGUGAAUGGAUUCAAAUGUUGACAUUUCUGAUGAAGAUUGAAAGCUAUGUGAGUAAUUUAUCUAUUAUCUCCUUAAUUAUCCUUUGCUGGAGUGAUGCAUUCAGUUUGAAUUUAAACAGGAAAAAUACAUUAACUAACUAGAAAAGGUGAGUGAGUGCUUCUAUAGAAAGGCAAAUGAUAUGACGGUGACAUUUUUAUAAUUAGCCGCAUCUUAUUGGGUUCUUUGUUUCAAAGUGAUAGGCUAUCCUCUUUUGGCCCCAGAUUUUAGUUUUCCACCCCA